AUUGAACGCUGGCGGCAUGCCUUACACAUGCAAGUCGAGCGGCAGCGCGGGGGCAACCCUGGCGGCGAGCGGCGAACGGGUGAGUAAUACAUCGGAACGUGUCCUGUCGUGGGGGAUAACCAGUCGAAAGACUGGCUAAUACCGCAUGAGAUCGAAAGAUGAAAGCGGGGGACCGCAAGGCCUCGCGCGAUUGGAGCGGCCGAUGUCGGAUUAGCUAGUUGGCGGGGUAAAAGCCCACCAAGGCGACGAUCCGUAGCUGGUUUGAGAGAACGACCAGCCACACUGGGACUGAGACACGGCCCAGACUCCUACGGGAGGCAGCAGUGGGGAAUUUUGGACAAUGGGGGCAACCCUGAUCCAGCCAUGCCGCGUGUGUGAAGAAGGCCUUCGGGUUGUAAAGCACUUUCGGCCGGAACGAAAUCGCGCGGAUUAAUAACCUGCGUGGAUGACGGUACCGGAAGAAGAAGCACCGGCUAACUACGUGCCAGCAGCCGCCGUAA
rnacentral:rRNA from 1 species